rnacentral:ncRNA from 1 species
GCUAUGGUCCGCCAUAGGUGGACAAUAGGGAACCGUGUGAAAAUCACGAGCUGACGCGCAACUGUAAGCCUCGAAGAGUGUGGAGCAAUUAUUGUAAAGCACUGAAUAUGAGCAGUCGCGGCAAGCCAUUGGGCCUUGCGGGGCCCGAGAAGGCGCGGCUGCAGGAGGCGAGCCAGGAGACCUGCCAUAGGCCU